rnacentral:rRNA from 1 species
GAUGAACGCUAGCGGCAGGCUUAAUACAUGCAAGUCGAGGGGCAGCAUGACUGUAGCAAUACGGUUGAUGGCGACCGGCAAACGGGUGCGGAACACGUACAGAACCUUCCUUCGAGCGGGGAAUAGCCCAGAGAAAUUUGGAUUAAUACCCCAUAGUAUUACGGAGUGGCAUCACUUUGUAAUUAAAGAUUUAUCACUUUAAGAUGGCUGUGCGGCUAAUUAGGUAGUUGGCGGGGUAACAGCCCACCAAGCCUGCGAUCAGUAACUGGUGUGAGAGCACGACCAGUCACACGGGCACUGAGACACGGGCCCGACUCCUACGGGAGGCAGCAGUAAGGAAUAUUGGUCAAUGGACGAAAGUCUGAACCAGCCAUGCCGCGUGGAGGAUGAAGGUCCUCUGGAUUGUAAACUUCUUUUAUAUGGGACGAAAAAAGGCUUUUCUAGGUCGUCUGACGGUACCAUAUGAAUAAGCACCGGCUAACUCCGUGCCAGCCGCCGCCGUAAAAC